rnacentral:tRNA from 1 species
GAGGCUUUAUCUUAAUUAAAGUAUCUGAGUUGCAUUCAGAAGAUGUGGGUUUGUUCCCCGCAAGUUU